ACGAACGCUGGCGGCGUGCCUAAUACAUGCAAGUAGAACGCUGAAGAGAGGAGCUUGCUCUUCUUGGAUGAGUUGCGAACGGGUGAGUAACGCGUAGGUAACCUGCCUUGUAGCGGGGGAUAACUAUUGGAAACGAUAGCUAAUACCGCAUAACAAUGGAUGACACAUGUCAUUUAUUUGAAAGGGGCAAUUGCUCCACUACAAGAUGGACCUGCGUUGUAUUAGCUAGUAGGUGAGGUAACGGCUCACCUAGGCGACGAUACAUAGCCGACCUGAGAGGGUGAUCGGCCACACUGGGACUGAGACACGGCCCAGACUCCUACGGGAGGCAGCAGUAGGGAAUCUUCGGCAAUGGGGGCAACCCUGACCGAGCAACGCCGCGUGAGUGAAGAAGGUUUUCGGAUCGUAAAGCUCUGUUGUAAGUCAAGAACGAGUGUGAGAGUGGAAAGUUCACACUGUGACGGUAGCUUACCAGAAAGGGACGGCUAACUACGUGCCAGCAGCCGCGGUAAUACGUAGGUCCCGAGCGUUGUCCGGAUUUAUUGGGCGUAAAGCGAGCGCAGGCGGUUUGAUAAGUCUGAAGUUAAAGGCUGUGGCUCAACCAUAGUUCGCUUUGGAAACUGUCAAACUUGAGUGCAGAAGGGGAGAGUGGAAUUCCAUGUGUAGCGGUGAAAUGCGUAGAUAUAUGGAGGAACACCGGUGGCGAAAGCGGCUCUCUGGUCUGUAACUGACGCUGAGGCUCGAAAGCGUGGGGAGCGAACAGGAUUAGAUACCCUGGUAGUCCACGCCGUAAACGAUGAGUGCUAGGUGUUGGAUCCUUUCCGGGAUUCAGUGCCGCAGCUAACGCAUUAAGCACUCCGCCUGGGGAGUACGACCGCAAGGUUGAAACUCAAAGGAAUUGACGGGGGCCCGCACAAGCGGUGGAGCAUGUGGUUUAAUUCGAAGCAACGCGAAGAACCUUACCAGGUCUUGACAUCCCGAUGCUAUUUCUAGAGAUAGAAAGUUACUUCGGUACAUCGGUGACAGGUGGUGCAUGGUUGUCGUCAGCUCGUGUCGUGAGAUGUUGGGUUAAGUCCCGCAACGAGCGCAACCCCUAUUGUUAGUUGCCAUCAUUCAGUUGGGCACUCUAGCGAGACUGCCGGUAAUAAACCGGAGGAAGGUGGGGAUGACGUCAAAUCAUCAUGCCCCUUAUGACCUGGGCUACACACGUGCUACAAUGGUUGGUACAACGAGUUGCGAGUCGGUGACGGCAAGCUAAUCUCUUAAAGCCAAUCUCAGUUCGGAUUGUAGGCUGCAACUCGCCUACAUGAAGUCGGAAUCGCUAGUAAUCGCGGAUCAGCACGCCGCAGUGAAUACGUUCCCGGGCCUUGUACACACCGCCCGUCACACCACGAGGGUUUGUAACACCCGAAGUCGGUGAGGUAACCUUUUGGAGCCAGCCGCCUAAGGUGGGAUAGAUGAUUGGGGUG
rnacentral:rRNA from 1 species